rnacentral:rRNA from 1 species
GACGAACGCUGGCGGCGUGCUUAACACAUGCAAGUCGAACGGAAAGGCCCUGCUUUUGUGGGGUGCUCGAGUGGCGAACGGGUGAGUAACACGUGAGUAACCUGCCCUUGACUUUGGGAUAACUUCAGGAAACUGGGGCUAAUGCCGGAUAGGAGCUCCUGCUGCAUGGUGGGGGUUGGAAAGUUUCGGCGGUUGGGGAUGGACUCGCGGCUUAUCAGCUUGUUGGUGGGGUAGUGGCUUACCAAGGCUUUGACGGGUAGCCGGCCUGAGAGGGUGACCGGCCACAUUGGGACUGAGAUACGACCCAGACUCCUACGGGAGGCAGCAGUGGGGAAUAUUGCACAAUGGGCGGAAGCCUGAUGCAGCAACGCCGCGUGCGGGAUGACGGCCUUCGGGUUGUAAACCGCUUUCGCCUGUGACGAAGCGUGAGUGACGGUAAUGGGUAAAGAAGCACCGGCUAACUACGUG